CCUUCGACGAGUCGAGCUGGAGCAAGGUGGAUGGGUGCUCAUCUGCAAGUCAUGACCACUGGUGAUGUCAUCUCCUCCAAUGGAAGUUGAUGUCAAAUCCCCUCCUCGAAGGUGACAAUCUACUCAUGCAGAUUUGCUUCUCCGGGUAAAAACAUUGUGCGAUGAGGCAAAUGAGAUAUUAGGGAGGAAGCUAAUGUUCAGGAUCAAUGUCGACCGGGGCAUGCUGAUAGGUGAUGGGCCAUCACACUUCACCAUCAGCUGGAAACUGA